AAAUCAAAAGAAUCCUUCGAAAUGUUAUAGAUCAGUAAGGGAGUCCUAAGAACUGGAGGCGAUAAGGGAUAUGGCAGCAGUAUCAAAGUGGUAGUAUUCCUCAGCUAACCAGUAUGCUCUAUCCAACACCCACUACACAGGUACAACCUCGGCUUCGAAAAUCAGAUUGUUCCUGGACAAUUAGAUCUGAUAGGUGAUAUAUGCCAUCCUAGUGCCAUAGGGCGAGCCCUCGAUCAUACUCUGAUGGACCGCACCUAGGAAAGAUGAAAGCCAAGGGCUAUUAUUAGCCUCCCAAGGCUAGCCACCAGCCAUGCCCGAAAUCAAACACACCCUCGAGCAACGAAGCAGAGCAUGCUCCAUCGACUUAUCCUUCAAUCUGCA
rnacentral:lncRNA from 1 species